GGGGGGACCAUCCUCCAAGGCUAAAUACUACUGACUGACCGAUAGUGAACCAGUACCGUGAGGGAAAGGCGAAAAGAACCCCUGUGAGGGGAGUGAAAUAGAACCUGAAACCGUGUACGUACAAGCAGUAGGAGCAGGCUUUGUCCUGUGACUGCGUACCUUUUGUAUAAUGGGUCAGCGACUUAUAUUCAGUGGCAAGGUUAACCAUCUAGGGGAGCCGUAGGGAAACCGAGUCUUAACUGGGCGUUCAGUCUCUGGAUAUAGACCCGAAACCAGGUGAUCUAGCCAUGGGCAGGUUGAAGGUUGAGUAACAUCAACUGGAGGACCGAACCGACUAAUGUUGAAAAAUUAGCGGAUGACUUGUGGCUAGGGGUGAAAGGCCAAUCAAACCUGGAGAUAGCUGGUUCUCCCCGAAAGCUAUUUAGGUAGCGCCUCGGACGAAUACUACUGGGGGUAGAGCACUGUUAAGGCUAGGGGGUCAUCCCGACUUACCAACCCUUUGCAAACUCCGAAUACCAGUAAGUACUAUCCGGGAGACACACGGCGGGUGCUAACGUCCGUCGUGGAGAGGGAAACAACCCAGACCGCCAGCUAAGGUCCCAAAUUACUACUAAGUGGGAAACGAUGUGGGAAGGCUCAGACAGCCAGGAUGUUGGCUUAGAAGCAGCCAUCAUU
rnacentral:rRNA from 1 species